rnacentral:rRNA from 1 species
UACGAAGGGGGCUAGCGUUGCUCGGAUUGACUGGGCGUAAAGGGCGCGUAGGCGGUUCGUACAGUCAGACGUGAAAUUCCUGGGCUCAACCUGGGGGCUGCGUUUGAUACGUGCGGACUUGAGUGCGGAAGAGGGUCGUGGAAUUCCCAGUGUAGAGGUGAAAAUUCGUAGAUAUUGGGAAGAACACCGGUGGCGAAGGCGGCGACCUGGUCCAUUACUGAGCUGAGGCGCGAAAGCGUGGGGAGCAAAACAGG